rnacentral:lncRNA from 1 species
AGUCUAAAUACUCCUGUUAGGCAUUGAUGUUUAUGGUACAAUGGUGCAACGACAGUACUUUUUUCGCAAAUGCGCUUAUUAAAUCAUCACCCGUUUGGCGAAGUAGGCUGUGAUUCGAUGAGAAAUUAACAGGCACCGCUUCGAUUAUAUGCAACGCAGGACAAGCUAGAUAAACUAGUAAUAUCAUCAACCAUGUGUAGUUAACUAGUGAUUAUGUUAAGAUUGAUAGUUUUUUAUAAGUCUAAUGCUAGCUAGCAACUUACCUUUGCUUCUUGCUGCCCUCGCGUAACAGGUAGUCAGCCUGCCAUGCAGGCUCCUCGUGGAGUGCAAUGUAAGGCAGGUGGUUAGAGCGUUGGACUGGUAACCGAAGGUUGCAAAAACGAAGCCCCCCUGAACAAGGCAGUUAACCCCCGUUUCUAGGCCGUCAUUGUAAAUAAGAAUGUGUUCUUAAUCUGACUUGCCUCGUUAAAUAAAGGUGUAAAAAAAAGAAAAAAAUCGGUGGCCAAAAAUACGGAUUACCGAUUGUUAUGAAAAUUUGAAAUCGGCCCUAAUUAAUCGGCCAUUCCGAUUAAUCGGUCGACCUCUACUGACAGAUCCUUCUCAACAAUGCAGAGAGAGACAACAGGUGUAGACUAACAGAGAUAUGCAGACUGACCAGCCCUUAACCAACAGGUGUAGACCUCACAGUGAAAUGCAGACUGACCAGCCCUUAACCAACAGGUGUAGACCUCACAGUGAAAUGCAGACUGACCAGCCCUUAACCAACAGGUGUAGACCUCACAGUGAAAUGCAGACUGACCAGCCCUUAACCAACAGGUGUAGACCUCACAGUAAAAUGCAGACUGACCAGUCCUUAACCAACAGGUGUAGACCACACAGUGAAAUGCAGACUGACCAGCCCUUAACCAACAGGUGUAGACCUCAGUGAAAUGCAGACUGACCAGUCCUUAACCAACAGGUGUAGACCACACAGUGAAAUGCAGACUGACCAGUCCUUAACCAACAGGUGUAGACCUCACAGUGAAAUGCAGACUGACCAGCCCUUAACCAACAGGUGUAGACCUCACAGUAAAAUGCUGACUGACCAGCCCUUAACCAACAGGUGUAGACCUCACAGUGAAAUGCAGACUGACCAGCCCUUAACCAACAGGUGUAGAGAGAAAUAAUAAAGUAAAACGCAUAAUAAUAAAAGUUAUAAUAAAUACACAAUGAGUAACGAUAACUUGACAUGGUCUCAACUAGCAACAUGAUAUCAUGGAUGAAACAGCAGUUUGACAUGGUCUCAACUAGCAACAUGAUAUCAUGGAUGAAACAGCAGUUUGACAUGGUCUCAACUAGCAACAUGAUAUCAUGGAUGAAACGGCAGUAUUCAACGUUUUCCAGGGAGGAUAAACAUCUCGUUAACCUGAAAGUACGUAAUGGUUAAGGUUUGUAAAUUGCAGGUUAAGUUGCCCCUAGUGGAUGGUAUUGGAAGGCAUCACCCGAUGUCCUGGGGACCGAGACAGACUUCAGUAUUCAUCGGGUGUGAUGGCGUUGCAACAACAGGGGAUACGAGGCGCAAUGAGUGAGAGAAUGGUGGUGAAGUUCGAAAAUCGGGCUUGUAUGAAAUGAAACCUGAUCUUUGUAAGUCUGACCUGCGAUGGAUUUUGUUAUUAUAAUGUUUGUAUUGGUCACAAUAAAUAGUGAUGUAGUCUUUUCAACAUUUUUUAUUAGUGAAAAAGCUGUGU